GACGAACGCUUGCGACGUGCCUAAGAAAUGCAAGUCGAACGGGGGAGCAAUCCCUAGUGGCGAACGGUCGCGUAACACGUGGGCAACCUGCCCUGAAGCGGGGGACAACAAGUCGAAAGAUUUGCUAAUACCGCAUGUGUCUCGCUGUGGCAUCACAGAGGAGACAAAGCCGCAAGGCACUUCAGGAUGGGCCCGCGGCCUAUCAGCUUGUUGGUGAGGUAACGGCCCACCAAGGCUUCGACGGGUAGCUGGUCUGAGAGGACGAUCAGCCGGAUUGGGACUGAGAUACGGGCCCAGACUCC
rnacentral:rRNA from 1 species